rnacentral:rRNA from 1 species
UACGGAGGAUGCGAGCGUUAUCCGGAUUUAUUGGGUUUAAAGGGUGCGCAGGCGGCGUGUCAAGUCAGCGGUAAAAUGUCGGGGCUCAACCCCGGCCGGCCGUUGAAACUGGCGUGCUCGAGUUGGAGAGAAGUAUGCGGAAUUCGUGGUGUAGCGGUGAAAUGCAUAGAUAUCACGAAGAACCCCGAUUGCGAAGGCAGCAUACCGGCUCCACACUGACGCUGAGGCACGAAAGCGUGGGUGUCGAACAGG